rnacentral:lncRNA from 1 species
GCGUCCACUACAAUCUCUGGACCCGUAAUUUGACUAUCCCCCACCUCCGCCCAACAGAGAGGUGACCGGCAUUUACGUCCGUACAAUGCCUCAAAUGGAGCGGCUUGAAUGCUGGUAUGGUAACUGUUAUUGGUUUGGAUAGUUCGCUCAGACUGCCCAUCCGUCUGAGGAUGAUAUGCUGUGCUCAUGUCUAACCGUGAGCCGAAAGAUUUGUGCAUCGCUUGCCAAAGCUCUGACGUGAAUCGUGCAUCGCGAUCCGAAAUGAUAGAGGUGGGCACUCCGUGCCUCGAAACAACUUCUUUCAUGUAGAUGUCUGCUAGGGUAGAAAACUUAUCCGUUUCUUUGAUAGCCAAGAAGUGAGCAGACUUUGUGAGCCGAUCAACGAUCACCCAAAUAGUGUCAUUCCCACGCUGGGAUCUAGGUAAGCCCGUAACAAAAUCCAUGGAAAUUUCUUCCCAUUUCCAUUGCGGUAUCUUAGGCUGCUGAAGCAGGCCUGAUGGUUUCUGGUACUCGAUUUUAACCCUUGCACAAGUUAAGCACUUGCCGACGUAAGUUGCGAUAAGAGCUUUCAUGUUUGGCCACCAAUAAGUUGUUCUGAUAUCGUGGUACAUCUUAUCCGACCCUGGAUGUACCGAGUAGCGAGACUUGUGCGCUUCAUCCAUCACAAGUUCGCGUAAGCCGCCAUAAAGUGGGACCCAAAUACGCCCCGUUACAUAGUAGGCGCCGUCUUCCUUUUGUUCCAUUUGUUGCCUUGAACCGCGCAAGGCUUCAGCCUUGACGUUUUCGGGUUUUAGUGCUUCUAUCUGAGCAGCUCGUAUCUGUGCAGGAAGACUGGACUGAAUAGUAAGUUGUAGCGCUCGCACGCGCUUAGGUAGAGUGUCUUUCCGACUGAGGGCAUCAGCCACAACAUUGGCCUUGCCUGGAUGAUACUUGAUGGCGCAUUCAUAGUCGUUUAGAAGUUCAACCCAUCUCCGUUGACGCAUAUUCAAAUCCUUUUGCUUAAGAAUAUGCUCGAGACUCCUGUGAUCGGU